UGGGGAAUUUUGGACAAUGGGCGAAAGCCUGAUCCAGCAAUGCCGCGUGUGUGAAGAAGGCCUUCGGGUUGUAAAGCACUUUUGUCCGGAAAGAAAUGGCUCUGGUUAAUACCUGGGGUCGAUGACGGUACCGGAAGAAUAAGGACCGGCUAACUACGUGCCAGCAGCCGCGGUAAUACGUAGGGUCCAAGCGUUAAUCGGAAUUACUGGGCGUAAAGCGUGCGCAGGCGGUUGUGCAAGACCGAUGUGAAAUCCCCGAGCUUAACUUGGGAAUUGCAUUGGUGACUGCACGGCUAGAGUGUGUCAGAGGGGGGUUAGAAUUCCACGUGUAGCAGUGAAAUGCGUAGAGAUGUGGAGGAAUACCGAUGGCGAAGGCAGCCCCCUGGGAUAACACUGACGCUCAUGCACGAAAGCGUGGGGAGCAAACAGGAUUAGAUACCCUGGUAGUCCACGCCCUAAACGAUAUCAACUAGUUGUUGGGGAUUCAUUUCCUUAGUAACGUAGCUAACGCGUGAAGUUGACCGCCUGGGGAGUACGGUCGCAAGAUUAAAAGCUC
rnacentral:rRNA from 1 species